GCGCUUGUAGCUCAGUUGGAUAGAGCGACGGACUUCUAAUCCGUAGGUCGAAGGUUCGAAUCCUUUCAAGCGCGCCA
rnacentral:tRNA from 2 species